AAGUAACGCGUAAGUACUUGCCCUUGGGAAAGGAACAACAGAUGGAAACAACUGCUAAUAUCCCAUAGGCUGAGGAGCAAAAGGAGGAAUCCGACUGAGGAGGGCCUCACGUCUGAUUAGCUAGUUGGUCAAGCAAUUCCUUACCAAGGGGAUGAUCAGUAAUUGGUGGUCGUUU
rnacentral:ncRNA from 1 species